UGACUUUAUCGGAAAACUUGUAUUAUUGUUUACAAAUACAAAAUAAGCUUGAUAAAGAAAUCGCAUACAAUAUAAUAAGAUAUUUGUAUGUUACAAUUAUAUCGAACUGCAUAUUUUAUUAUUGGCUUAGGUGGAAGUUUAUAAACAUUCAGGACCUCGAAAAAUUCAGGCUUUCGAGCUCUUUUGUUCAAUUAGAAAACAGAAUAAGGAUUUCAGUUUUGUAAUAUCAAAAUCAACUUAUAAUUUAGAAAUGACAGUCAACAAACAAAUUAUCGAUAAUGAAAAUGUCAACGGCUUCAACAUUACACUAAAAGUGGAAAAACGUAAUAUUAAUCCAACGUCUCAGCGCUAUGUAAUAUCAUACAAAAAUAAGGAACAAAAGUCAUCAUUAUGGUCAAAGAAGUCCCUUAUAUGUGCAAUAAUCUUCAAUAUUUUAGCCAUGAGCUAUAUUCGUAUAAGUUUUACAGCAACUUUGAUUAUUAUUAUUGUGAUGUCAUUCCUUAUAUUUUUCUGGGUUACACACACCGUACAGUCAGAAACACUUCUAGUUAUUCCGACUGUGGGUAUACAGACCUCAGUGAAGUAUGUUGUAGGUAGAGAAGAUAAUUAUGUUUCUUGGAAUAACAUUGAUGAUGUCAUUAUUAAUGAAGUUAUUAAAUUUAAUAGAGUUCUUUACUUUCUCACAAUUUUAGUAAAGGGUAAUAACCAGGCAGAUCAAAUUAAAUUAAUGCCAUUAUUUAAGUACACAAAACCAAGGCUUAUGAUGCUGGAAGUUAUUUAUUCUGAAAUACAAUUAUUAUUACUAGACUCAAGGAAAGAAACCAAUGAGUUUGGGGAAGGGCAAGGUUCUGGGGAUAAAUAGAGAAAUGUAAAAAAAUUGAAUAGCUUAGUAUAUGCAACAUUUCUCAUACAUUGUUAGAAAAAACAUUAACAGAGAUGUUCUCAAUUUUGUUUACUUAUUUGUUUUAUAUAGUUAUUUAAUAAACCAGACACUACUUGACUGAUAAGUUUUGGAUUCACAAUUACUUUGUGUAUUAGUUAUGAAUUCAUAGUUAAAAUAUAUUACAAUUAUUUUACAAUUGUUACUGCUGUUUUAGCAAAUGUUUUGAAUGAAUAUUAGGUUUAAAUAAUUAUUAUAAAAUUACAUAAUUAAAAUUUUAGACUGUGAAUAUUUUAGUAUUCAGAAUAUUUAAUUUAACUGUUUGUAUUUGAGUGUUGUAAUAUCAAUAUAGAUAUAACUGUUAGUGAUAGUUUUGUAUUGUGAUUAGUUAAGAAUUUUUAUUUGAGAUAAUAGGUUGGAUUCAAUUUCUUUGUGUUGCUAAAUAUAACCAGAGCUUGGCUUAUAGUUAAUUUAGCUAGUACAGUCUAUGCAUAAAAUGUAGCUGUAAUAAAAUUUAAUACAGAUGCAAGCAUUUAUUCAUUAUUAUUGCACAGCAAUAUACAAAUUUUCUUUAAUA